GCGCGGCCGCCCGCGCCGAGACCGUCUCUGUUUGCCUGGAGUUGAGGCCUUCUGCAGGGUCGAGUCCGCUCUAGAAUCCCUGCGCUUGAAUUUGGUGAUUCGGGCCAUUCCGCUCCUUCUCCUCUGCUCGGUGAUUUCAGUCUUUUUUCUUGGCAGGUCUUCUAGGAUGAAGGGACCCGGGUUUCUGUCGCAGCAGAAAGGAGGAAAGUGCAGCCACGAGGACGACGUCGGGACAACACAGACACGUGGAGGGGGCGCUGCAGAGCAGGCGCUGGGAGUCGCGGCCGGGGGCAGAUGCGGGUGCCCUGGAGAAGCCCCCUCAGCCGACCCAGUGGUCAGGCCGGGUGGAUCCAGAGGGAGCUCCGACCACUCCACUCUGCUCCGUCUCUACUCCGUCUCUACUCGUCUCUACCCCAGUCUCUACUCCAUCUCUGCUCCAUCUCUACCUCCAUCUCUAUUCUGUCUCUACUCCGUCUCUACUCCAGUCUCUAUUCCGUCUGUAUUCUUUAGCCUCUACUCCAUCUCUUCUCUGUCUCUACUCCAUCUGUACUCCAGUCUCUACCCCUGUUUCCACUCCAGUCUCUCCUCCAGUCUCUACUCCAUCUCUACUCCAUCUCUCCUCCACUCUCUCCUCCAGUCUCUACUCCGUCUCUACUCGUCUCUAUUCCAGUCUCUACCCCGUCUCUACCCCAGUCUCUAUUCCGUCUCUAUUCUUCAGUCUCUGCCCCAGUCUCUGCUCCUUUCUCUCGCACACGGCUGGUCUGACAGACGGUUCUCUUCUCUUGGGUCCCAGGUGGGCGUUCUCUGGUUUGUGCCCUAGAUUCCCAGGGCCGGCUUACGACGCGGGCAGCUCUGAGAUCCACAAACUGCCCUUACUUCCUGGGCCCAAGACCAGACCUCUAGGAACCCAGCCGGGUGGGCAGGUUGUGUCCCAGGGCACCAGGACACAGACCCCCUGGGAAUGAGCAACGCGGCUCCUGGAUGGUGGGCGGUGCGACCACGUUCUCCAUCCUGCAGACCCUCACGGAGGGGCGGGCAGAGGAGCGGCAGAUGUCGGUGUGACUGCCUCUAGUGUAACACCGGGGCAGCCCUGCUGCGGCUCACAAUGCCCUGGACACGGUGCCAGGGGGCAGGACUCAGGAAUGAGAACGCGUUCACCUCUCCCCUGCACACCCAGCACCUCACACAACAGGGGCUCGCGGCGGGUCCUGGAUUUUCCGCCUGAAGGCACACUAGGCUUCUGCCUCCUUCCUGCGGCCCUCCCCUAGCAGAGCAGCGUUUUGCAGACCAGCCGCCCCGCUGGCCCCGACCCCGAGCGGCCUCAACCACAGUCGUCCAGCGCUGCCCUGCCCACGAGUGCAGGGGAUUCCGAGUCAGUUCAGCUCCAUUCAUCACAGGAAACUUUGAUUGUGAGUUUAAAAGAAAGUUUAAGAAAAAGUACCAGCAUCACCCCUUGUGACUUGCCAAGUGUGCUUACUCCAGACCUCUCGGAAAGCUCGUGUCAGCUGCGUGAUUAAUGAGCUGUUGGUAGUAAAUUGCAAGCACAUUCACACCUCCGAGCCAUAUUGUUUAACCUUUAACUUAUCGACUGGUAAAAACUUAGAAAACAAAGUGUAAUUUUACCUGUCAGAUAGAUGCCGCUAACUUGAGAAUGUAGAAUUUUAGACGAGAAACUUCAAAUUUCUUUUUGUCAAACAUUCACGUGGAAACGAUAGCUCUUCACUCAGCUUUCUCAAUUUUCUUUAGGGGAAACGGAAUGAUCAUUUUCAGGCUCUCAACCAAUCAUUUGCUUUUUCCAGCCUAGGCCAUCUGCCAAAUCAGAUAAAUUAGGGCAGAAACACACGGAGCUGCCAACAGGCAGAGGGAGGCCCCAAGGGCUGGAGCCUCCGGGGGUCUCCCCGAGAGCCCUUCAGGGACUCCAGCUCAGAGACAAGUCGGUGCAAGGCUGACCUGGUGCCCUGAGUGGACACAGACUCGGGCUGAGGCCUCGUUCCUGCUGCCCGGAGAAGCCCCCCGUGGUCUCAGUCAGGACGGCCAGCCGUGGCCCUCACAUAGGCUGGGCCGGGGGACGCGCUCCCUGAAACGACCCCCAGGGGCAGGCCUGCCUUCUGGACAGUCUCCCAGUGACCCCUCGCCAGAGCCUCUGCUGAAAGCCUGCCACCUCCGCAGACGCCAGCGGGGCCCCUUGCUUCUUGUCUGUUGCUGCCUGAACCUCCUCAUCCGUUUGUCCUUUUGUUUUUCUAAACAGCUCCUCCCCCCGCUGACAAAAAGCCAAGACAAACAGGCAAAGCCAACCGUUCCCUCCGUCCUCGGGUCUGUCUGAAGCCAGCAUGUCCUCCAGUCCCCUGUGAGACCACCCCCGUCCCAUCAGCAUGGCCCAGGUUCCCACCAGGGGGCAGUCACCUCCUGCCUGACACACCCCUGAGCCCAGGGCCACCGGGAACCCCUCAGAGUCCCCAGAGUCCUUCCAGGCCUAUCCCAGAGAGGCUCAGUGUCCCCCUGGGCCUGCCGAGACCCCAGGGGUCCCUCAGGUCUAGCCCGUGAGGCUUGAACCUCCCCCAGCCCACCCCUGUGCUUUGCCAACACGAGCCACACAGUCUGACUCCGUAUGCUCUCACCUCUGUCUCUCUGAACGUGUGGCCCUGGGGGCUGCCCCCCGAGUCCUCGUAUUUGCAGCAUGGGCUCCGGCCAGAGCCCCCAUCCACUCCAGACCCUAUGGCCUUGUAGCUUCCCCACGGCCAGCCCCUCAGAACUGUCUGACUUUUCCCAAAUGCGUUUGUAUUUUAGCAAGAGAGUCUUUGGAGAUACAUAUACACAUGAAUCAAAACCGAAAACAAACAAGGUGGAACUUACUGUCAAGAAGACCGUGGCUGAGCCACACCCGCCCUGGUCUUGUGAGCUUCUUUCUAGAAGAUGGCGUCCAGUCUCCUAAGUCAGGAGGGUUAUUUACUCCUGGCACAGACCUGCAGGGAAAGGGAGGUUUUUAUUUUGCAGAAUAAAUCAUGGAGAGGCUCCAAGCUGCUGUAACUUGGAAACCUCUGUAAUUAAGCAAUCAAUUAGAAGGUUCUUGGCCCCAUUCCAGGGGCCCAGAGGGAGGGAGGCCUAACUGUCCUGAGGCUGAACUUGACCCCAAAUCGCCAAUGCAACAGAAACAAACACACAGCGCUGGCUUUGGCUAAAGGGCUACGCUUUUUAACUUAAUCUCACAGUUAAUCUCAUGCAGGCUGAACGUGCCUGCAGAGGCUCCGGAUAAGAGCUAUGCUUCCCUGUUCUCCCCUUUCAGCACCCUCCGCCCCCCACUGCCAACAUUUUCCAUUAGAAUCAAGAAAACAGACGUUCAGUGUGUACCCCAGUGUCAGCAAAGCACUCAGGGAAGCGCGAGUUUGGCACAAAAGCCAGUACAAAUCCUGGAUGACCAGGGGCUAGAACCCUCUGAAAGUGAAAUGUGAAGUCGCUCAGUCGUGUCCGACUCUUUGUAACCCCACGGACUGUAGCCUACCAGGUUCCUCAGUCCAUGGAAUUUUCCAGGCAAGAGUACUGGAGUGGGUUGCCAUUUCCUUCUCCAGGGGAUCUUCCAGACCCAGGGAUCGAAGCCGGGUCUCCCGUAUUGCUGGCAGACGCUUUACCAUCUGAGCCACCAGGGAAGUAGAACCCUCUGGGCUUUGUUAAAACUUAGCAAAGGAUGCAAGCACUCUCAGUUCUGUGACACAGUUCUGCCACGUCCAAGGGGCGCCCUGGUGACUUGGACGCAGCUGAUCACCAGGACUGACACUGAAGUGUCCACUGCCUAAACGCCUAGUUGUGACACUUCCCAGGAGACCAGAUUCCCUUUCAAUUAAGCCUUUGAAGCCCCCGACGGGAAGUGGGCACACACUGAGCCCACGAAACACACUGGCUCUGAGGGCUCAGUCACUCUCCCCGUGAACUAGGAGCCCUGUCCCCUGUGCCCUGUCCCCUGUGCCCUGUGCUCUGUCCCCUGCGUCAUGUUGUCCUCUGUCCCCUGUCCCCC
ensembl:lincRNA